rnacentral:lncRNA from 1 species
AUCUCAAUUCAAUCUUAAUUUAAUCAUAUUUGAAAUCUUAUUUCAUUCAAACUUUAGGCCAAAAACUAACUAAAUCUUAAAUUCUAAACAAACUCAAAUAAAAAUUUAAAUUCUAAAUCAAAUCCUGAUCAAAUCUUAAUCAAAUCUUAAAUCCAAAAUCCUAAAUCAAAUCCUAACCAAAUCCUAAAUCCUAACCUUAAAUCAAAUUCUAACCAAACUUUAAUCUUAAUCCUAAAUGCUAAUCCUAAAUCAAAUCCUAACUAAAUCCUAAACCCUGACUCUAAAUCAAAACUUAACCAAACCUUAAUUCUAAUAUAAAUCCUAACCAAAUCUUAAAUCCCAAAUCAAAUCCUAAUCCUAAAUCAAACCCUAAUCAAAUCCUAAAUCAAACCCUAACCCAAUCCUAAAUCCUAAUCCAAAAUCAAAUCCUAAUCAAAUUAUAAUUCUAAAUCAAAUCCUAAUCAAAUCCUAACCCUAAUCCUCAACCUUAAACCAAAUCCUAACCAAACC